rnacentral:tRNA from 1 species
UUGACGUUCGUGACGCCGGUGAGCGUCGCGCCGCUGAGGUUGGCGCCCUUCAGCUUCGCGCUGGCCAGUUCCGCACCGGUCAGGUCGGCCC